rnacentral:lncRNA from 1 species
GGGCACCGACAGAGGGAUUUUUGAUGUCAUGUCCAUCCUCUGAGAGGAAAGAUGCAUGCAAAAAGACAGACUCUCAGAAACCAGGGUCCGUGGGGAAUAAAUAUUGCAUAAGCCCCGAGGCGGACAAGAUUAUGUGAUUUCUCUGUGUUAUGAUGCAUUUCAUGAAAGCAUGUAAUUAAUGAAUUGUUUUCUAUGUUUC